CAGACCGUGCACAUUUUGGCAAGCCAGCAAUUCUUGCUGUGGCUUUGGCAGUGCAAGUGGAAAACUGUGGAGAGAAUAGGACAUUGCUGAAAGAAAUAAUUGCAUCUGUACUGGGUUAAUAAAUCAGAAACAGACAAACAUUAAAUCUGAACAGUGUCCAGUUCUCUGUGUGCCUGCAUUUUGCUGCAUACUAAUUUUCUCAUUUUUUUGUGAGAAAUGCAUCAAACACAGAUCAAGUUUUGCCUCAGAGGCUGCAUGAAAAUCAAAUCACAUGUGGAUCUUGUUUUAUUUGCUGGAAGCAGACAUCUCCAGACUAUGUUUAGAGCUUCUAGGGGAUGCAGCAGAAGAGGUACAAAUCAAGAACAGUUCUGCCCCUGUGACCUGGAAGCAUUCAGGACAAGAAGAUUAACCUUGUAAGGGUUUAUAGGACGGGCUCCUGAGAAACCAUAGUCAUAGAAGAAUUGAAGAUAUCCAAGCCACACGAUGCAAAGACAGCUCAUCUUUACAAUGAUGCUGUCAACUGGAAAUGAAGAAGGAAGGAGGCAAUGAAGCAAGACUAUUCAGCCACAGCUGAGAACAAAAAAAGUUGGGGUAAAUGCCAGCUACAGCUUUAAAAUGGUAUGAUCCUACUACUGGUAACUGGACCAGAAGAAGCUCUCAUUGCUGAUAAGUACUUAUAUCACCAUAUAUUUAUUACUCAUUCUCUCUCUUCCUUCUGUUAUUAACCUAAAUAUCUGGUAUAUAUCUGUUGAGAUAAAAAGUUACUAAUUACCUAUUAACCUUGAAUAAAGCCUUCUUUGAAAGACAUGUCUUAUGUAAAAGGAGAAAGAAACCAAAAAACUUUUUCCCCUUCAGUCUUCUGCCAUAACCUCUCUGAACUCUCUGAAGACAAUUUCUAUAAAACCAGUUUACUCUGCCAGUGAAUUUCCAUGUAUGUUUGGAUUCUGUGCUGCUUAGUGAGAUGGCUUUUCAGUCAUGAUAGCAACCAUGUAAGCAAAGUCACAUGCAAACAAGGGAUUUCUACUGCCUGUUCACCUCUUGCUGUGGAGCAAUAUCAAGAGGCCUGUUCUGGAAGAAUGAGUGUACAUUGAGUGAUGAUGUGGGGUACCCUUAAGGUAACAGCCUUACAGAUGAUGUGGUCUACUUGAAUCCAUACUAAAAACUGCCCUCUAUAUGUAAGGGGAAAAUCCCUCACAUGCUUAUCAAAACCAGUAAGAAGUCAUAACUUGGUUAAUUGCCACUGGGAUCAAGACAAGAGGUGCACUACCAUGAUCUAAUGCAAGUAUUACAUGAGAGCUGGGUAGCAGACCUAUGAGAUUUAACUCAUCACUGCAUUCUGUGAUGUUUCCUAAAUCUCUGCGUGUCUGAAGUACAGUCUACACUGCAGAUACAGAUUUUGAUGAACCUGUUAUACAACAAAUUAACAUAAAGACUAGAUUUAUGUGGAAGUCCAAAAAGGAGAGAGUACUGCCAGGCACUGCAAUCCAGAGAGUUUGAGGGGGAGGGGAAUCGGGCAUGGAUGUGAAGGGGGAAGUGCAGAGCCACAGAGACCUAAAGUAGGACCAAUAUUUACUUUACCACCUUUAUUGACAUUCAAGAAGAUUGCAAAAUAAAACCACAUUCAUUAAAUUUGCAGAUGAUGCUAAAUUGGAAAACAUUAUACAAGUCAGGAUCGAGAAGUGUAAUGUAAAGCAGCUCAGAGAAAUACAGGCUGAGAAUACCAAAAUGAGAUUCAGCUGGUUAAAAAGAAAGCUAAUGCAUGCCACAAGGGAAAAAUAACUUGGGCUGGGGGAAGCCACAAAUUCAAUAGAAGGCAAAAGCCUCAAGGUAACAGUGGGCAACAGAUGACAUAGGAGCAUUCCCAACAGGAUGGAUGCAAAGGGUAGCACAGUUGUGGGCUGCAAAUGCAGAGGCACCGGCUCAUAGUCACAGAGAUUUAAGCCAUCAGGUUUUAUGUGGGAUAGCAAUUUAGCUCUAAGACAAAUAUACGUGACAACCUCCUAACUCAGAUGUAUUUGUGAGGUGAAAUUUCUACAGAUAGCUUCUGGUGUAUAAAUUGUCUCUGGCAUUUGGGAUACAGAAUCUGAAAUCAGGCAAAGUAGUGUGCACUCAGAGAAAACAACAACACUGUUUCAAGGAUGGUAGAAAGUGAUAAAGGACGCUUCCAUAACCUAACUAUGUAUGACACAGCAAAGGAAAGUCCUACAAAUGCCUGAAAAAAGGGCAGUUAAAUCCUGAAAAAGAAUCACAUGUAGUCCUGUUAUCUUUAAGAUGCAAGAACAAAAAAAUUAAUAUUCACUAGCAUAAACUAGUCAUAAUAUCUGGGAAACCUUGCUUGUGGAAUGUUUUUUGAGUAGGGGUGAUGAGCAAGAUAACUUUGGAGAAGCAGCCCUGCAUUGAUAGGAUGGUGAUGACAGAAAAAACCUUUUCCUUCUUUGAUACCUACAUUAAGUUUAGAAGAUCUGUGUAACAGCUGUGUGUUCUGAUAUUUACUUCUGUGAAGUAAACAGAGAUUCAGGAAAAUAAAAACAAAAUCAAUAAAAGAAGAAGAAACUUCUAUGGAAUCAGCAUCGAAGUACAGGAGCAAUGUUUAAAAGAAUAAAAAAACCACUAAACUAAAAAAAAAACCUAUGAGAUGUUGUCAACUACAACUAAAGACAACCAAUCAUAAUAAUAAAAAUAAAGAUGUUGAAUUGCUUCAGAGUUCAUUCUGGAUGAAAAUCAGGAAGCUGUGGAGAGGAUACACAGGGGAAUGUGAUCAAAGAUGGAUUAAUAUCCUGCAUGCCCAAAGGUUGCAUAUGCCAUCUCACAAUAGAUACAGCAAGAGUGAAAAUGGCCACUGGGGAUAAAAGGAAAUUACUAAAACAGAAGGACAUUCAGAAUUAUAAAUUAUGCUGUAUGAAAAACUGUAUGAUAAAAUCUGGAAGACAAUAUAUUUUCAGGUCAACAACAUGGGUUACUACAGAAUGCUAAAUACAAAAAUAAACAAGAAUGUUUAUGAAAUCCUUUGGUUUCUAACCAAGCUAAUCAGGUACAUGACAAAACAGUAAGAUUUUUUUUUUUUUUCUGGGGCUCUCAAUUUUACUCAGGUUAAGAGUUCCAGUGAAGUUGAACAGUGUAAAAAAAAUUGUAUCCAUGAGUGAGUGUGUUCUUGAUUUUUCUGACAUUAUUUAUGCCUUGCUUAACUAUUUCUGCAUUCAGAACUGAAUGAAAGCACAUCCCAUGUUAUGGAGAAAAUGUCCCCAAGCAAAUCUCAGCUGGUAAAACUUAUAAGCAUUUUGUCUCAAACAAUCUUGGAUGGUAGAUUUGAAAUUUUAAUUUGAAAAUCCAAGCCAGUAGCAUAUCUGCUCUCGGUGGAAUAGGUAUGUGAACCUUGAGGUUGAUCCUGUGCUGUGCAUGUACUUAACUUCAUGCCUGGCAAGUGGUGCCUUUGCCUUCAGCUCACAAGGGAACUCACUGGAGCUCCUGGCGGUGGGUGGAACAGAGCUGAGGAACGUUCCCUGUCAGGCCAGCGUAGGUCCCAGCCCACAGUGAGACCAUGCUGGCCCUCCUGGUCCUCGGGCACAUUUCACUGUAGGGUAGGGCCUUUCCAAAUGCAGUUCACAAUCAAAAGCUGCCUCUGGGGGGAAACAAAUUAAGCUUUUAUGUAUUUUUCAGAUAGUUAGAAGCAGUUCAGGCUUGUUAAACAAUGGAAAGAAUUUCUGUAGAAUUCAUCAAAUAUGAAAUACAUUACAUGAUAAUGAAAACUUAACUGAUUUCUAGAGCUUACUUCAUUUCCCCUACUGUUUUCUCUACACAAUAAGGCAGCAAAGAGCUGCAAGCUACCAUACCUUUUGUAUAUCCUCAGUGAAAUAUUUGCUAAGAUCAGGCAGAAAACCACUGACAUUAAGGGAGCUGCAGGGGUGUCAAUGAGAGCACAAUUAUAAGUCAGUGUGUUACACAGCCAUCUCAGGGGGACUAAUUUGGCCUGCAGGUCUUUAUUGCUGCUGAUGGUAGGCAAAAUGGGGGGAAGCUAAGGCUGACAGUAAAAGCCCACGGUGACUUUGUAGGAGUGGUAGAUACAAAAGCCAUCUUUUCAUUUGUAAGCUGUGCCUGUUUGAUGAAAAGACAAUAAACAUGGAGCUAUUUUUACAAAGUCACUUUUUUUUCAGAAGAGAGGUGAAUUUAGCUAUAUCUCACACAAAACUCCUUGCAAAAUCUCCCAGCUUUCUGCUCCUGCAGGGAAUCUUUCUGAAGCCAGGCUGCAACUUUGAUCUUUCCUGUUAUAGCCAUAAAUCAGGGUCAGUUAUAACUAAGAGCUUUAUAUACCCCACUGCUACUGCACCAGGAUGUGAUUUUAAAUGGUUUCUAGAGAAAAGAUAACUGAGAUUUAUGAUUCAGUAGUUUGAUUACAGCAUCAUCCAAAACUUUAACAGAGAGGUACACAAUGAGACACUGGUCAGGGUAGAAAACACAUAGAAGGAGGUACUGUUAGAGAAAGUUGCAGCAGGACAAGGAAGAAGACAUAGAAACAGGCUGAUGUUCCUCUCCACACACGUGGUACAUGUCAUAUCCAUAUACAUAAAAUAUAUAAAUCCUGAUUGUUCAUCUAGGGGCUUAUGGUAUAGAGACUUUUAGAGCUCAGAAGUAGGGUGCUGAAGCCCAAUAUGCUGCCAUACUCAGCUGUGUGCAAACCUGAACUCAGACUCUGCAUAGAUCUCCUUAAGAUCUCUCUUUCUCUGCUCAGGACUCCCCUGGGAAGAACACUGAAGUAUUUGCUUUGCCUCACAUCAGCUGAUAUGGUAUUUGGAAAUGGGCAGGAGAAAGACAGAAGGUAACAGGAGGAGUCUGCUGGCACAUAAGUGUGCCCUUGGCUAUGUUAUGAAGGACAACCUGUGAAUGUUCCAAGGCAUUUCAGAAAAGUGGCUAGAGAGUCAGAAUCAAAGUUAUUUCAGCUGGAAAGUCAUAAGUUUUGAAAGAUGACCUUGGGCCAGCAAUGCCCCAGUUCAGAAAGAUAUCCCUUUAAAAAGUGGAGGACCUGGAAACUGUAACUUGACAGACUUCCUAUCUAAACCUAUCUUCUUUUCCAUAAUAAGGAAGGGGACAAAGAAUCCCAAGGGCAAGCAUAAUUCAGAGCCAUCAACAACAGAAAGAGAGGUUCUCAUUAUCUUCAAGAGAAUCAAAUGCCUUAGUACACUCUGAGAUUACUAAGAGCUCUCUUAAUCAUUCUACUCUUAUGGAUAAAUCUGUGCACAAAUCUCCAAAUGCAAUUAAUGAUGCCAUGUAAAUAUGACCUCUAUGCAUUAACAUAAUUCAGCAAGGGAGGGACAAGUCCUAAAGAAGGAAGAUGUGAUACUGUUUUUUCAAUAGUUUAAAUUGCUGUUUCUUUUGCUUUCUCUUUUUAAUUUUUUUUAAAUUAUAAAGAUUACCUUUUUUUAUUAAUACUCUUUAUUUUAUGAUUUGGACACAGGAAAAAAUUAAUGUCAUGCUCUCCAUGUAAAAAUGCAGAGGAGUUGUUGGAUAUAAUGACAAAAUAGUGUUUCUUUUUCUUGGGUGUUUUCCUGUGGCAAUACUGGGACACAUUGGAUUGCACUUGGACCUAUAAAAGGAGCUUAAGAAGUAAGAUAAUCCAUUAAAACAGGGACAGCGGGAGGGAGAGGAUGAGAGAAAGAAAAUCCUGCUCAUUCAAAUUUGAAAGUUACUUCUUUCUUUUUGCAGAAUGACACACCAGAAUGAAGAUCAAUCACAGCCUUCUUUACGGGUAGUUUUCCACCUUAAUGAAGUGGGUUCAUCAUGACUUGUUAUGACAAUACUUCAUUUUUAACCACUGUUCCACUCCUUUUUUGACUCUUUUGAUUAAAAGGAUUGUUCUGCAGUGUCCCACGUGAUAACUGUAUUAGUUAGGGUAAGUAGCUGAUCUAUUACCGCAGGAUAAUACAGUUUGAAGGCAGUUUAAUAGGGGCUGGCAGAUUUCAAUAUUAUUAGAGGGUCAUAGAGUGUCUGACAUUUCAAUUUGUUACCAGACCACUCAUAUCACUAGGGCAAUCAUUAAACAUAGACUCUAAUAAGGUUUCUGCUUUGUAGGGUCAUUCAUUAUUGACAAGGAGAAAAGAAAUAAAUACCUUCCCAGGGGCAGCCUCAGUAUGUAAUACAGUAAAAAUUAUCUGAGUCUGGAACCAUAUUUUCCAGAUUUUCUGGCAAAUCAAGCAUUUUCCAACUAAAUCAAAUAAAGGACUACAGGAAAAAGCCAUGAAUACUUAAAUUCUCUCUUUACAUGCUGUCAGAACACUCAUUAUAAUCACAUAUAUAUUUUAAAAAAUUAUAAUUAGGUCAAGUUGGCUUAUUUUACCACUGUGAUUGGAGCUAAUAAUGCACUUGUGUUGUCUUCAGCUUUAUGAGGUCUGUACACCUGGGACAAACUUUGCAUAUUAUAAUUAAUCAUCAUAUAUCAGAUAGCUCUAAUAGCUAUUUAACAGAUGAGCCAUCUUCACCUUUCAACUAGGUAGGCCUGUGAUUUAGCUUGGAAACGAAAGAAAUACAUUCUUCAUAAAGGCUUAUUAAUAUUUUCCUUCUCCGAUCAAUGUUUGGUUUUUUUGGAUUAUGCUUUAAAGUUACUUUAUAAUUUCAGAUUUUCCCCAAAUGACUUUAAAUUCACAUUAAUUUCCCACAUCUUUUAAAAAUUAACUGUGUUGUACUUUAAACAAAAAUUGAGAAGAAGGGAAAAACAGUUUGGAAGAAGGUGAAAGAUAUCAUUAAAUCCACAACUAAAGUAUUUGGACAGAGCUAUUUUAUUCUGGAAAUUUUGUUAGGAGAAAAAUUAAUUUGUGUGAUUUUUUUUUUCUCAGUUUCUUGGGAAUAAGUAUAAAUUACACAGAAAAUAAGGUUGUUAGGAUGCACUACAGCAUUUGGUGAAGAAAGAGCAGUGCUGCACCAAUGGAUACAAGCCAGAAAGAGACUAAUCCUGCAACUGCAUACUGACUUAAGUUGUCCCAUUGGCCUGAUCAGGAUCCAUUCAGAACAACAGAACUUUUAACCUGAUUUUUGAAUCAGAUAGACUGGGCCCAAAGGAGCAGUUCAAGAGAGAAUCAAGCUCAGGAAGAAAUUAUCUAUUUUCAUUUACUGAUGAAACAGAUGAACUGCAGCAUCCAUGGUGAUAGUGAAUUAGUUUAUAAAAUUUCAUCCAGAUUUAAUAAUGUAAGGAAUUAUUAAUAACCCAGGUAAAAAAAGUCUCAAAUUCAAUAAGGUGAUCCUUUCUUUUAAAUUCAUAACAAAAGCCUUAAUUGGAUUAGAAGAGCAACCAGCAGACAAAUAAACUGACAAUAUAAUUUAAUUCAGGUAGUGUAGUGAGAAGGAAUUUUUAGUGCCAUUUGUUUAUUCAUUCCUGGGUACCAGUUUAGUCGAUUCCAACAUGGCAGCUUAUCUCUGGCUGGUCUUUGGAAGUCCCCCAGAAACAACCACUUAAAUCUUAACAGUGCAGUACCUUGGCUCAGUGGAGCAAGUUGUUCUCAUCACAUUUCCCAGCUCCCUGAUCAGGGAAAGUAAUGUUAAGUAAUGGACAUUACUUAAGUCAAGUAAGACAUGCUGAACUAAGAAACUGUUCUGCUUACAAGCUUUCACAAAAUACUGCAGGAGAGGCAGAAAGGGGUGACUGUAGCCAAGAUGGCUUGAAUAUGUGUAGAAAGAUUCUAAAGUGUAAAUUAUUAAGAGAGACUUCCUAGAAUGAAUGGAGUAAAGUGAUUUGGUUAUACAGAGAGAAGCUUAAAGACUUAUCAACAACACCUGAGAUUGUCCAACUUAAAAGCUGAUGACCCUAACAGCAUUCACAUAUGUUGAGGUACUAACGUAAAAUGUGACAAUGCUGUUAAAUAUACCACUGUCUUCUGUAGCCAGUCUAUCACAAGCAUACCUUAUAUUAAACUCAUAUUUCUGCAGAACAUUGUACAUUCUAUCAGAGACUCCUGCAAUAUUAGAAAAUUAAGAAAAUUAUCAUAAUGUAAAUAAGGUAUUUCUUUGGAACAAUAAUUCAUAUUUCAUUUAGUCACUGUUUUCUUCAAAAUAAUUUACUAUACAUCUAACAACUAGGCAACAAUAGUUAUAUAUUAGUUGGGGGGAAAAGAGUUGUAGCCCAGAAUACCCUUACAUUUCCUUACUGCAAGACUACAUUGCUGAAUAUAGCACAUUCAAACUGGUGUGCACCAGACCCCCAGGUGAUUUUUGGCCAACCUACUUUCCAGCCAGUCUGUACUGGCAGCUGGGGUUAUUCCUCACCACAUGCGGGACUUUGCAUUUCUCUUUUCUGUACUUCAGGAGAUUCCUGUUGUCACAUUUCUUUAGCCUGUCUGUGGCCCUCUGAAUGUCAGCACAGACAUCUGGUCUAUCUACCACUCCUCUGAGCUUUGUAUCACCAGCUAAUAUAUCGAAGGGGAACUCUGCUCCAUCACCCAGAUCAUUAAUGAAGCUGUUAAAGAGUACUGAUCCCAAUAGCCACCCCUAGGGUCUCAGACUAGUGACUGUUCUCCAGCUGGACACGUACAGCUGAACACAGUUCUUUGAGCAUGGCAGUCAGCCAGUUUUCAACCCAGCUCACUGUCCAUUUAACCUGCUUUUCUAUAAAGAUGUUAUGGGAGACAGUGCAGAAAGCUUUGCUAAAGUCAAGAUAAAAAACCAAGCGAGUCAUCUCGUAACAGAAAUCUAUCAGGUUAAUCAGGCAUGAUUUCUCCUUCAUAAAUUCAUGCUCAUUAUUCACAAUCAGCUUCUAGUCCUCCAUACAUUUGAAAACAGUUUCUGGGAUUAUAUUUUCCAUCACUUUAGUACAAGAAACUCUAAAAGAUAAAAGAUACAUAUCCACUUGAAACUUACUUGAAAAAUGGAAAAAUGUAUUUACAAAAACAGAGAAAUGCAAAGACAGUAUUAUUAGUCAUUUUGUUGUCCCAUUAGUGGCUAAGAGACUUAUGAACAAGUUUGAGAGCAAAGGCCAAAAAGUGAUUUUGGGAAGCUCCCUGACUGGACUCAGGCUGAAGGGAGCUGCUGUAGGCACAGGAGAUAUAAAAGUUUCUUUCUAGUCAGAAGAGACAGUACAGGUAUAGUCAAAUGAGUUCAGACUUCUCAUUGUGGCACAGAAAGAAGGGCAGGGAGUAGGAGUCAAUUUGGAUUCAUAAUCACCAGGAUUCCAUUGACUUUUCUAGAGGCAGGAUUGGGCCCAUGAGGUUUAAUUGUGUUGUGUUCCUUUACAGAAAUGUAUUAAAUGUGCAACUGUUUUUGCAGUUAGAUUAUCUUGUUUUUCCCAUUUGGUCAUCCAAGAAAUGGUAAUACAGAGCAUUAUCUGUUGAAGUGUGAAUCCAGUUUCUAUGAACACAGAUAAUCUAACAGUAGCAGCCCCCCUCACUGGCGAGAAAACAGUAAUCCAAAGGCACCAUGAAAGGGGUAACUGGCAGAUCUCAGCAGCAGAAAUGAGCACAGCUUGUGCAUUUUAGAAAGAGGAAAGAAUUCUGCAGAAAAAUUAAUAUAAAUUGAUGUGCCUAAUUUAAUUUACACAAAUCAGAAGGAGAAAGAACAAGUAGUUAACAUCUUGGCACUACCUGUCAUCUGCAGCAUGGUUACUGUUACAAAACAUAAGGAAUAUUGGAGACCAUAAAAGCUUUGACAUUAGCAGCUACUAAUUUACCAGCAAAAGCACACUGCUUCAGAGCUGCUAGCUUCAGUUGAAAAUAGCAUCUCCUCAUGCUUGUGUGAUUUGAAUUUAUUUGUUUAGGUGUUUCAGAAAGGGAGUAGGCAUUUUUAUUCAAACGGU